UAUCGAAAUCGAAUAGGGUUUGGAUUCAAUUUUUUUAUUAAUAAAACUCUCUCACUCGCCUGUCGUAAACUCUCCGGCGGCUUCUCCCGGUCGCCGGCUACUCGAUUCGGUCGGUGGAACCCUAACUCAUCUCCCUUUCUGACCGUAUCUCCGUCGAACCCUAACUCUCUCUCUCUCUGUCUCGCCUCCGCCGUUCUCCUUCUCCGUUCGUCUUUCUCCCCGGCGCAUCGGUCUUGGGUUUUUUAACCCCUUUGAUUUUUGGUCUCGAAGGGUUGAGUUGUUCGGGAAUUAUGGUUUUCUCGUCAUAAUCUCUGAUUCGAAAUUCUGGGUUUUGAUUUUACUGUAUUGAUUUUGCGUGGCUGAAUUUUUCUGGGACUGCUUUGCAGUGUGUGAUUGGAUUGGAAUACGAAUUAGGAAUUGAUACAGUAGCAACCCUGUAUCCGAAGAACCAGAGCUCGAGGAAGCUGACGAAGACAGAAGAAGUUCAUAGGAACACUGGUUCCGGUGAAACCGUGAACCCAGGUCUGGUCUGAUAAUAGGUAACACACACAUACAUUGGUUAUAUUUCUAUAUUUAUACAUUUUGAUUUCCCAAUGCCAUUGGAAAUAUAUUCCCCAAAAUCGAAAAUUUUAAAAACAUGAUAUAUCUGAUUUCUUAAAUCUA